UUUUUCCGCGGUGUUGGCAGAUGCAGCUUUUUCAACAAGGAUGACUUUUUACUAAUGAUCGAAAGGGGACAGCUCAUUUGAAAAUAUUGCUUCACUACUAGGGCCUAAAAGCAAAGGGCCCACUUGGGUAAAUACCCCAGUAGUUAUAUAUACUUAAAGAAUGCCCUAACUCGAAUUCGCAUUUUCUGCAAGUGAAAUCUACGCUGUAUAUCGGUUACGAUUGACAUCGUCUAUAUGUGGCAAGCUAUAUAGUUAAAGUCUGUGGUUACACGCAACUAUGGCAAACUUAGUCUGUGAGAACUCAUGCAACUCAUUCCGUACAUGCUAAAUAAAGAAUCGGGGAAUAAUGGAAACGGGGAAUCAAGGAAGGAGGGAGUUCCAGGGAGCAAAUAGAACGUGGAACAAACAGAUGGUUGGACGAACAGGAAUUACGAGAAACUGGGAGAGGGAAAACGGACAGUGGUGCAGAGACCAGUAAGAGAAGUGGGAAAUUAUGGGGACGAUAAUAAAAUGAGGGAAUAGGCUGACCAAAGGUACCGAGGAAAAUGUGGGAAACAGAGAAUGGUAUACUAGGGAACGUGGAAUGAGCAAACUAUAGUGUGGGGAUCAGAGAAAUUGGGAAACAGGAACUUGGGAGGAAGGAAAUGGGGGAAAGUGAAUCAGGAAUGAGAGAAACGUGGAAUACGAGAACGACGGAAAAUAACCUUUUGCUGUUUCACUUUGUUGAAAAACAUACCAUUGAAGCAUAUUAGCCUUUGCCAAUUCUUAAUAUUAAUUAAUUAAUCAACUUUUUUUAUAUUUAAGUGUAC